rnacentral:rRNA from 1 species
GACGAACGCUGGCGGCGUGCCUAAUACAUGCAAGUCGACCUUAGUGGCGAACGGGUGAGUAACACGUGGGUAAACUGCCCAUCAGAAGGGGAUAACACUUGGAAACAGGUGCUAAUACAGUAUACUUGUGGAUGGCACCUCGGUUCAUUAGCGAGUUGGUGAGGUAACGGCUCACCAAGGCCACGAUGCAUAACCGACCUGAGAUGGUGAUCGGCCACAUUGGGACUGCGAAACGGCCCAAACUCCUACGGGAGGCAGCAGUAGUGAAUCUUCGGCAAUGGACGAAAGUCUGACCGAGCAACGCCGCGUGAGUGAAGAAGGUUUUCGGAGCGUAAAACUCUGUUGUUAGAGAAGCGGUAUCUAACCAGAAAGCCACGGCUAACUACGGGCCAGCAGCCGCGGUAAUUC